CUCACUCAUUUGUCUCUCACCCUCGUCUCAGAGACAACCUUUAGAACCCUAAUGCUGCCCCUUUCUUCCAUUGCUUUAGGGUGGCGGCGCCACCUCCGUUCACCACCAAAAUUAUACCAUAUAAGCUCCAUGACCCCCUCAUCCAAAAUCUCCAUUUAGUUUCCUUCAAAUACCUCUGAAGCCUCUCGAAUUUGAUUUGAAAAGACGAACCCUAAAAUCCCAAAACCAAAGUCGUCGGGUUUUUUGAAGAUUCAAGGUUGAAAUCAGCUUUAUUCGUGUGUUCUAACUUGAGAACAUAUGAUUAAGGCCUAUUUCGGCCAAUAUCAAAGGUUCUAGGUUUAAAUUCAAGACGUCUCCAGGCUCUUCUUUAGGUAUUUUUACCUUUUUCUUCCCUUCUUUCAUUUUUCUUUUUCUUUGUUUCAUUUUAGAUAUUAACAUUUAUCUUCUCACUUUAUCCCCUCUGUCUUAUCUGUUUUCAUUUUUGGGAAUCUUUUCUGCUCAUAUGCUUUCAACUAAG
rnacentral:lncRNA from 1 species